rfam:Otolemur garnettii contig042056, whole genome shotgun sequence.
GCUGGGCGCUGUGGCAGGUGCCUGUAGUCCCAGCUACUUGGGAGGCUGAGGCAGGAGACUCGCUUGAGCCCAGGAGUUGGAGGUUGCUGUGAGCUGUGAUGCCACGGCACUCUACCCGCGGGGAUAGCUUGAGGCUCUGUCUAAAAAUAAAUAAAUAAAUAAAUAAGAUCCUCUUUGAGUAGGUGGCUCUUUUUUUUUUUUUUUUUUUUGAGACAGAGCCUCAAGCUGUCCCCCUGGGCAGAGUUCCGUGGCAUUACAGCUCACAGCAACCUCCAACUCCUGGGCUCAAGCGAGUCUCCUGCCUCCG